rfam:Picea glauca, whole genome shotgun sequence.
UCUUAUGUACAUGCCUAGAACAUUAAUGCACCAGAUCUCAUUAGAACUCCGCAGUUAAGCACAUUUGGGCUAGAGUAGUACUAGGAUGGGUGACCUCCUAGGAAGUUUUAGUGUUUUACAUGCC